CAGCCGCCGCGGGAAUACGUAGGGUGCAAGCGUUAAUCGGAAUUACUGGGCGUAAAGCGUGCGCAGGCGGUUAUAUAAGACAGAUGUGAAAUCCCCGGGCUCAACCUGGGAACUGCAUUUGUGACUGUAUAGCUAGAGUACGGCAGAGGGGGAUGGAAUUCCGCGUGUAGCAGUGAAAUGCGUAGAUAUGCGGAGGAACACCGAUGGCGAAGGCAAUCCCCUGGGCCUGUACUGACGCUCAUGCACGAAAGCGUGGGGAGCAAACAGGAUUAGAUACCCCUGUAUUCCCUGUCUCUUAUAC
rnacentral:rRNA from 1 species